CCUACGGGCGGCAGCAGUGGGGAAUAUUGCACAAUGGACGAAAGCCUGAUGCAGCAAAGCCGCGUGAAGGAAGAAGGCCUUCGGGUUGUAAACCUCUGUCCGUGGGGAAGAAGAACAGUCGGUACCCAAGGAGGAAGCCCCGGCUAACUACGUGCCAGCAGCCGCGGUAAUACGUAGGGGGCAAGCGUUAUCCGGAUAUAUUGGGGGUAAAGAGUACGUAGGUGGCAACCUAAGCGAGGGGUUUAAGGUAAUGGCUCAACCAUGGGUCGCCCUGCAAACUGGGGUGUUUGAGUGCAGGAGAGGUAAGCGGAAUUCCUAGUGUAGCGGUGAAAUGCGUAGAUAGUAGGAGGAACACCAGUGGCGAAGGCGGCUUACUGGAGUGUAACUGACGCUGAGGUACGAAAGCGUGGGGAGCAAACAGGAUUAGAUACCCCAGUAGUC
rnacentral:rRNA from 1 species